ACAUCUUGCCAUAUAUAUAAAUAAUUUAUCUAGUGCAUAGGCUGUAUAUUUUUGUGUAAUUUUUUUAGUCACUUAUUUCAUCUUGUGUGAAUUUGUGGAGAAAACAGUCCUAUAUACAAUAUACAGUAAAAUGGUAGUUACAUGAUUAGAUUUGUUUCAUACAGUGUAACAAUAAAAGAAAACCUUUGCCUUCAAAGUAAUGUGUCACACAGUCUAGCCUAGAUAUUUUUUUUUUCUCCAAAUUCAAUACAUGCUUGUUGCACUUUGAACUAUUGCAUCAAAGAUAUAGGUAGUGGUGGCAGAAAGAAAGGUAACUUUUGAUUAUGUAAAGCAGUCAAGUAUUUAAAAAAAAAAAAAAAGAUGAACUGAAGUCAAACUGGUUGAAGUAAAAUAUAUCAGUUCUUUGUUUUCAUAAGCUGUGCUGUGUAACUUAAUUCUAAAGGAAGAAUAAUUAGGCACGUCUGCUUGGCCAGACAGAGACUACUGAGCACCUGCUCUCUCGGCUGUGAGCUGGCCGGAUGCAGGUCAUUUAGCUAAUUAUCAUGGCAAUGAGCCCAUGCUAAUAGGACCUGAGGGUUUAUGAAUGUUAGCAUGACAGUUAGGUUGACAUAACUUUAGUUAUGUGAGUCUGAAUCCAGACAGGUCUUUUUGCUUGGCACAGAGGUGGAGAAGUGCAGCCACUUUGUAUCAGGUUUCUUCCAGGUGUGACCUUAGGACUCAGCUGUGUAUCAAGCAAAAGAAGGAAAUGAGCAAGAAGGUAGUUUCUACAAUGGGCAGAAGACAACUCUCCUACUUUGUGUGGUGGUGAAAGUCAUGCUUUCAGACGGUACAUAUGGACUCUACUUGCAAUUAACAAAUAUUUUUUGAAGAUGUAAUUUUUUUCCUGGUCCUUACAUUCAUGAUCCAGCAUGAAAAAGUUAUUGUGUGAUAACUGCAAUGAAACUGAUGAUAUGUUUACGUUUUUUAUUUUUAUUAUUUUAGUGAUAUAGAGGUAUUUUGGUGGGGUUUAGUUUCAUACUUGAAACUAAGGCUCUAAUAGUAAAUGCAUUUGUGGUCUGUAAUCUGCCUUCAUAUUUAGUUCAAAGUAAUCUUUUUCUCAGGAAUUUAAAUCUG
rnacentral:lncRNA from 1 species